CUUGAUAAACUUAUAAGAGGUCCAGCCUGCCCAGUGACCCUGUUCAACGGCCGCGGUAUCCUAACCGUGCGAAGGUAGCGUAAUCACUUGUUCUUUAAAUGAGGACUAGUAUGAAUGGCACCACGAAGGUUAUACUGUCUCCUUUUUCUAAUCAGUGAAACUAAUCUUCCCGUGAAGAAGCGGGAAUAAAAAUAUAAGACGAGAAGACCCUAUGGAGCUUUAAACAAAUAUACACCUGCCUCUUUACCAAAAAUUUCAGAAGACAAGUAAUUACCCAGGCACUUUGAUAUAUCGUUUUAGGUUGGGGUGACCGCGGAGCAAAGAAUAACCUCCGCAGCGAACGGGAAUAUUCCCUAAACCAAGGACCACGACCCCAAGUAUUGAAAAAUCAACACUAAUUGACCCAAUAAAUUUGAUCAAUGAAC
rnacentral:rRNA from 1 species